CAGGGCACUCAUUAAAAAGGCACGCUCCCAGGACCUGCCCCAGAACUACUGCAUCAGAAUCUCUGGAUGUGGAGUCUAGGAAUUUGCAUUUUUUACCCUGAACACCUCCCC
rnacentral:miRNA from 1 species